rnacentral:rRNA from 1 species
UACGUAGGUGGCAAGCGUUGUCCGGAAUUAUUGGGCGUAAAGCGCGCGCAGGCGGUCUCUUAAGUCUGAUGUGAAAUCCCGUGGCUUAACCACGGGCGGUCAUUGGAAACUGGGGGACUUGAGUGCAGAAGAGAAGAGCGGAAUUCCACGUGUAGCGGUGAAAUGCGUAGAGAUGUGGAGGAACACCAGUGGCGAAGGCGGCUCUUUGGGACGGUACUGACGCUGAGACGCGAAAGCGUGGGGAGCGAACAGG